GACGAACGCUGGCGGCGUGCCUAAUACAUGCAAGUAGAACGCACAGUUUAUACCGUAGCUUGCUACACCAUAGACUGUGAGUUGCGAACGGGUGAGUAACGCGUAGGUAACCUGCCUGGUAGCGGGGGAUAACUAUUGGAAACGAUAGCUAAUACCGCAUAAUAUUGAUUAUUGCAUGAUAAUUGAUUGAAAGAUGCUAUUGCAUCACUACCAGAUGGACCUGCGUUGUAUUAGCUAGUAGGUGAGGUAACGGCUCACCUAGGCGACGAUACAUAGCCUACCUGAGAGGGUGAUCCGCCACACUGGGACUGAGACACGGCCCAGACUCCCACGGGGAGCAGCAGUAGGGAAUCUUCGGCAAUGGACGAAAGUCUGACCGAGCAACGCCGCGUGAGUGAAGAAGGUUUUCGGAUCGUAAAGCUCUGUUGUAAGAGAAGAACGGGUGUGAGAGUGGAAAGUUCACACUGUGACGGUAUCUUAACAGAAAGGGACGGCUAACUACGUG
rnacentral:rRNA from 1 species